rnacentral:rRNA from 1 species
GCAGCCACUCAUUCAAAGAGUGCGUAAUAGCUCACUGGUCGAGUGAUCCUGCGCCGAAGAUUUCCGGGGCUAAAACUUACUACCGAAGCUACGGCAUCAGUAAUGAUGGGUAGGGGAGCUUCCCAUACGGGUUGAAGCAUGACCGUAAGGACAUGUGGACAGUAGGGGAGUGAGAAUGUUGGCAUGAGUAGCGAGAUGUGGGUGAGAAUCCCACAGGCCGUAAACCCAAGGUUUCCAGGGGAAGGUUCGUCCGCCCUGGGUUAGUCGGGACCUAAGCUGAGGCCGAAAGGCGUAGGUGAU